rnacentral:rRNA from 1 species
CCUACGGGUGGCAGCAGUGAGGAAUAUUGGUCAAUGGGCGCGAGCCUGACCCAGCCAAGUAGCGUGAAGGAUGACUGCCCUACGGGUUGUAAACUUCUUUUAUAAAGGAAUAAAGUGAGGCACUUGUGCCUUUUUUUAUGUACUUUAUGUAUAAGGAUCGGCUAACUCCGUGCCAGCAGCCGCGGUAAUACGGAGGAUGCGAGCGUUAAUCGGAAUUACUGGGCGUAAACCGCUCGUAGGCGGUAUGUCAAGUCAAAGGUGAAAUCCCCUCGCUCAACGUGGGAACUGCCUUUGAAACUGGCAAACUGGAGUGUGGGAGAGGAUAGUGGAAUUCCAGGUGUAGGAGUGAAAUGCGUAGAUAUCUGGAGGAACAUCAGUGGCGAAGGCGAAUAUCUGGCACAUAACUGACGCUGAGGAGCGAAAGCGUGGGGAGCAAACAGGAUUAGAUACCCGAGUAGUC